rnacentral:lncRNA from 1 species
UUACUAAGUGGAAUUAAAUAAAGUCACAAAGGACUUAAAAGCAGGUACGAUGAAGGGAGGUCAGAAGACAGGCAGUGUAACCGUGGGCUUAUUAGGGCCCAGAAGAGAAGAAGAUGCAAGGCUUUUUGCUGAAGGGCCCUCUGUGCUGAGCCUGGAAGGAAGAGAGGUCCCUGCAGGAAGAGAUUAAGUGAAGAUAUUAUUAAGGUUGAGGGAGUAGCAAAGGGAUAGCAUAAGAGCAACAUCCCCCUCCCUUGCCCCAGGUAAUUCCUCCCUUCAAUCUGGUCUCCCUUCUUCCCUUUCCAAGGUUCCUCAAGGCCCUGCCACCUAGGCUGAUGGGUUUUCUUAUCUACCUAAGAGGCAUCCUGGCUUUUCU